UAAAAUAUAUCUACAAUGCAAAUUUACACAUUGGCUUUGUGCAUGUUUGGAUCUUAUGGAUUUAUUUCCCCAAAGAAUAUUAUGCUAUUUAGGGGCAAAAAAUGCAUGGUAUUUUUAAAACGAAAAUGAUAUUAUAUAAAUACAGUCUUUGUACUGUGAUAAGUCAAUAAGUAUAUGCUUUCAAUGAAAAGUGAAAAGCUUGAAUGCUCUUAGCUUCCCACCCACACAAUUGUUUCUUUGUGUUUAGGUUUGUCUCAUCAGCCAGGUAUAUUCUAAGGCAAUAACCCGGAUGCCACAGUCUUGUUGAAAAGUCUUACUGGAAAGCAAUAGACUUGCUCAGGAGAAUUAUGACCAGAAUAUUUAUCUUUAAACAAACUUCAGUUCUGUUUACAUAAUCUAAAGCUUAUAAAUGGCAAGUGGAAUAUAUUUGCCAAUUGUUUUCCUUCAGACUUCUGUGGAACAUUGGAAACAGUGACCAACUGUAACAAGGCGACUGGAUCCUGGAAAGAACUUCAGCAGAUCAUACAUCUAAACCAUCAUGAUACUUCUAAUUCUUUCUUCACUGGUCCUAGUUGCACCAGCACAAAAACCCACAAGCUCACCUGCACACCGCAUUCUUCCAGGAUGGUUUCCAAAUGCUUGUACAUUAGUUAUAUGUGCUCCACCAGAGAAAGACUCCAAAGAUGGAAAGCAAGAAUUACCAAGAAUCCAAGAACUGUGGGGUCCACCAGCGCCACCCUCCAAACCAGGAUCAAAAGGAGAUGAUCAUCUUCCAGGCAAGUAUAUACUAUCAUCAUUGAUCUAGUAGCAAUAGUAGAAGUAAUAAUAGUAGCAGUGAUAUUGCUAGGCAUUGCACAAAAGAUAAAUUCAUAUGGCCACAGAUGUCAGAGCUAAUGAGGAGUGAGUCUUAAAAU